CGGGUGAGUAACGCGUGGCAACCUACCUUUUUCUACGGAACAACAGUUGGAAACGACUGCUAAUACCGUAUACGCCCUCCGGGGGAAAGAUUUAUCGGUGAAAGAUGGGGCCGCGUUAGAUUAGCUAGUUGGUGAGGUAAUGGCUCACCAAGGCGACGAUCUAUAGCUGGUCUGAGCGGAUGAUCAGCCACACUGGGACUGAGACACGGCCCAGACAACUACGGUUGGCAGCAGUGGGGAAUAUUGGACAAUGGGGGCAACCCUGAUCCAGCCAUGCCGCGUGAAUGAUGAAGGCCUUAGGGUUGUAAAAUUCUUUCGCUAGGGAUGAUAAUGACAGUACCUAGUAAAGAAGCCCCGGCUAACUCCGUGCCAGCAGCCGCGGUAAUACGGAGGGGGCUAGCGUUGUUCGGAAUUACUGGGCGUAAAGCGUGCGUAGGCGGAUUAUUAAGUUAGGGGUGAAAUCCCGGGGCUCAACCUCGGAACUGCCUCUAAAACUGGUAAUCUAGAGAUAUGGAGAGGUAAGUGGAAUUCCUAGUGUAGAGGUGAAAUUCGUAGAUAUUAGGAGGAACACCAGAGGCGAAGGCGGCUUACUAGACAUAUACUGACGCUGAGGCACGAAAGUGUGGGUAGCAAACAGGAUUAGAUACCCUGGUAGUCCACACCGUAAACGAUGAGAGCUAGUUGUCUGCAGGCAUGCCUGUAGGUGACGCAGCUAACGCAUUAAGCUCUCCGCCUGGGGAGUACGGUCGCAAGAUUAAAACUCAAAGAAAUUGACGGGGGCCCGCACAAGCGGUGGAGCAUGUGGUUUAAUUCGAAGCAACGCGCAGAACCUUACCUACCCUUGACAUGCCGGUCGCGAUUUCCAGAGAUGGAUUUCUUCAAUUCGGUUGGACCGUGCACAGGUGCUGCAUGGCUGUCGUCAGCUCGUGUCGUGAGAUGUUGGGUUAAGUCCCGCAACGAGCGCAACCCUCACUGUUAGUUGCCAGCAUUUAGUUGGGCACUCUAGCGGAACUGCCGGUGCUAAGCCGGAGGAAGGUGGGGAUGACGUCAAGUCCUCAUGGCCCUUACGGGUAGGGCUACACACGUGCUACAAUGGCGCUGACAGAGGGUUAAUCCCUAAAAGGCGUCUCAGUUCGGAUUGUCUUCUGCAACUCGAAGACAUGAAGUUGGAAUCGCUAGUAAUCGUGGAUCAGCAUGCCACGGUGAAUACGUUCCCGGGCCUUGUACACACCGCCCGUCACACCAUGGGAGUUGGUUCUACCCGAAGGUGGUGCGCUAACCAGCAAUGGAGGCAGCCAACCACGGUAGGGUCAGCGACUGGGGUGAAGUCGUAACAAGGUAGCCGUAGGGGAACCUGCGGCUGGAUCACCUCCUUUCUAAGGAAGGUUUUGAAGGUCUUCGCUUUGAUAAAUGCUAGCAUUUGUCUCAAAAGCACGUACUUUUUUAAUCUUUUAGAAAAUAUAAGGUCCAUUUACCUCUCCGGGUAACUUGGAUCAUUUAACGGCCAAGCGCUGUCUUCGUUUCUCUUCCCUUUUAUCUUCAACCGCCGCGCCGUAUGGCUGCGUUACGAGGUUGUUGAUGUGUUGAUAUGGAGGCCGGUAGCUCAGCUGGUUAGAGCGCACGCCUGAUAAGCGUGAGGUCGGAAGUUCAAGUCUUCUUCGGCCUACCAAAGUUUUCUCAUUUUGAGAACAUGUCCCAAUUUUUUAGCAUGAGGCUAAAGGGGCUUUAGCUCAGUUGGUAGAGCAUCUGCUUUGCAAGCAGAGGGUCAGCGGUUCGAAUCCGCUAAGCUCCACCAUUUUCAACACCGAUCGAAUUAAGUAGCCUUUGUGUUACUUAGAUAUUUGAAAUCGUAUAUGGAGGGUUCAUCCGACCCAGUUCGUCACGCAUUCGACAUCGAAUGCAUAUAAAUGUGAUGACUAAUUUUCCAAGGAUGAACUUUAAUAGUAAAGAUAUCGUCUGGCUGUUUAUGACAGCGUUUAACUGUCUCGUAAGAGCGUGUUAUUCACUGCGCAUGAACGCCAAACAAUGAAAUUGAGGUUAACCGUGCCUAACUUCUGGUCGGUAUGGUUGACCAUCUCAAGAAUCUAGAAGAAUCAAGCGUUACAAGGGUUUCUAGUGAAUGCCUUGGCGCACAGAGGCGACGAAAGACGUGAUACGCUGCGAUAAGCUCGGACGAGGUGCGAAUAACCUUUGACUCCGAGAUCU
rnacentral:rRNA from 1 species